AUACGUAGGGGGCGAGCGUUGUCCGGAAUGAUUGGGCGUAAAGGGCGCGUAGGCGGCGCGGUAAGUCUGGAGUGAAAGUCCUGCUUUCAAGGUGGGAAUUGCUUUGGAUACUGCCGCGCUUGAGUGCAGGAGAGGUUAUCGGAAUUCCCGGUGUAGCGGUGAAAUGCGUAGAGAUCGGGAGGAACACCAGUGGCGAAGGCGGGUAACUGGACUGCAACUGACGCUGAGGCGCGAAAGUGUGGGGAGCAAACAGGAUUAGAUACCCUGGUAGUCCACACUGUAAACGAUGAAUGCUAGGUGUAAGAGGUAUCGACCCCUUUUGUGCUGGAGUCAACACAAUAAGCAUUCCGCCUGGGGAGUACGGCCGCAAGGUUGAAACUCAAAUGAAUUGACGGGG
rnacentral:rRNA from 1 species